rnacentral:lncRNA from 1 species
GGUUGGAUCUGUAUCCAAUAUCAAAAUUCGAUCAAAGAAUUGGAUCGGAUCAGGAUCACUCAUGACUUGAUCCGAUCCAAUCCAUUUGUACCUUUAGAUAUUAGUUGGAUUCUCAAAUUUCUAUUUAUAUUCGAAUUGAUUCGGAUAUAAAGAUAUAUCCGAACGGAUUAUCCAUAUCAUUAUCAUUUUUCAGGAUACGGAGGCAAAGCCCAAAUCUCACGUGAUCGUGAGCGCAGCUUGGCCAAUACAUCACGUGCUCCCCACGGGCCUAGCACAUAUAUGACACGUGGCAGGUAUUUUAACCAGCUUUUUUCCCACAUCGUGCCCAAGUUUUUCUAAAGUGCCCAAAGUCAUUGAUGGCCCAC